rnacentral:rRNA from 1 species
AUGAAAUAUCUCUAUGAAUUGGAAGAGUGCAGGCCGAAGAAGCCAACAGUUACUUCUGCCAGUCCGGUUAGAGCGAAACCCAAGUGGAUUCCACCACCUUCAGGGGUGUUUAAGGUUAGAGUAGAUGGGGCGGUGGCUCGGUCAUGUAAUGAAGGAGCCUAUAGUGCUGUUUGCAGGAACUCGGAGGGCACGUACAUGGGAGCCUCGGCAAUCAGAUGCAUCAGUGUUACUGAUCCAGCAACCCUUGAAGCACUUGGGUGUCGAGAGGCGCUGGCCUUGGCUAAUGAUCUUGGUUUAACACAUGUUAUCAUCGCGUCUAACUGCCAAGGAGUGGUGUGCGACAUCUCGCAUGGCAUAGGAGGAAUGUACGCAAGCAUUGUGAAGGAAAUUACAGCUACGGCGGCACAAUUUCUGCAAUGUACAUUCAUCUUCGAAGGGAGUGACUCGCAUCAAGAGGCUCAUAGCCUCGCCAAACAUGCUUUCGGUCUAGGUUUGGGGCGCCACGUGUGGCCUAUAAACCCCCCAUCUUUGAAUUGUAUUCCUAUGAACAUUUCUGUUGAAUAA